rnacentral:lncRNA from 1 species
UUACACUUAUUUCCUCCCACGUCUGCUGGAGUGUGCGGCAAGAGGUCGAACGUCUUCGAAGUUUCACCUCCGUCGCUGCCUGUUAUAAUCCGCCGUUCGUCUUAUUCCUCUCCCAGCCGAGCCUUCUCUCCCUCAAGUUCCGUCGCUUCCAGAUGUUCAUUCUCCGAUAUGUCUUCGAUUAUCUCGUUGCUGUCUUUCCUGAUAUUUACAAGCAGGUUUUAUUUUCUUUUCCACUCAGGCAUCAAAUUUAUAUCGAGUCAUUGUGGAUUCGAUUGUAAUUUUAUUCAAUUGGGUAUUUGGGUUAUCUGCAAUUGUUGGGUUGUGAUUCAAAUAAUUUAUGCAAUAGCUGUCGAUCAUUGAGUUAUCAUUUGUUUGAACGGUGCAUUUCAUUACAUUUUUAUUGAUAUUAUUAGAUGUUCAGAAUUACAAAUCUACAUAGCGCAUGUAGUUCAUCAGAAAUCCAGCCUUCUCCAGUUCUAUUAAAGUAAGAAUGAAUGCACAAUACGAGGUCUGAUCAAACCAUAACUGGACUGCAAGGUUAGUUCAUUUUUCGGUUUCUGUUUUUAUUUUUGUUCCAAUGUUGGAUUCAAAGCUCUUCUAUGCAAUUCCGUAUCCCCAUUAGUGAUUGAAAAUAAAAGUAUUUAUGUUUGCAACACCACAAAAUUGUCUUCACUAGACAUCUCUCUACCCAGUUGUACUAGAUAUAUGAUAUAUCUACUUUAUGCAAGGAUAUUCUGACUUUAUCUUACAAAAGAGAGUUCUAAGUUUAACACUUAGGUUUA